AGAACACCAGUGGCGAAGGCGGCUCUCUGGUCUGUAACUGACGCUGAGGCUCGAAAGCAUGGGUAGCGAACAGGAUUAGAUACCCUGGUAGUCCAUGCUGUAAACGAUGAGUGCUAAGUGUUGGGAGGUUUCCGCCUCUCAGUGCUGCAGCUAACGCAUUAAGCACUCCGCCUG
rnacentral:rRNA from 1 species